AGUGAACGCUGGCGGUAGGCCUAACACAUGCAAGUCGAACGGCAGCACAGUAAAAGCUCGCUCUUAUGGGUGGCGAGUAGCAGACGGGUGAGGAAUACAUCGGAACCUACGUUUUCGUGGGGGAAUACGGAGGGAAACCUACGGUAAUACCGCAAACGACCUACGGGUGACAGCAGGGGACCUUCGGACUUUGCGGGAUUGAAUGGGCCGAUGUCGGAUUAGCUAGUUGGCGGGGUAAAGGCCAACCAAGGCCACGAUCCGUAGCAGGUCUGAGGGGAUGAACAGCCACACUGGAACUGAGACAGGCUCCAGACUCCGGCGGUGGGCAACAGUGGAGAAUAUUGGAGGAUGGAGGCGAGGGUGAUCCAGCCAUACCGGGUGGGUGAAGAAGGCCUUCGGGUUGGAAAGUCAUUUUGUUGGGAAAGAAGAACAGCAGGUUAAUACCCCGCUGUUCUGACGGUACCCAAAGAAUAAGCACCGGCUAACUUCGUG
rnacentral:rRNA from 1 species